AAAGAAUUGCACGAAACGGAGUGACUGCGCUACUCGUAUGUGCUGUGCUGGUUUGGUAGGAAACAACCCAGGAAAUUGUGUUAAAGAACCUCAGGAAGGAAUGUCAUGUUACCUCGCGAUACGUCCUACCUCUAAAACCCAAUGCCCAUGUGUUCUUGGUACGACGUGCACUCAAAAUCCCACGAACCGGCACAAGUUUACAUGUGUCAGGUUGACACAUGACAUACAAGCAGACGAAAUAGAAUCUGAAAAUACUUAUUAUUAAGUAAUCAGGUCUAUCUAGGCGAUUUGUUUCUUGAGGUUUGAAUAAAUUUUGUCGAUUUGAAUUGAUUGAAUUGAA